rnacentral:lncRNA from 1 species
UGUGUGUAUGUAUAUUCACGUGUGUGUGUUUGCAUGUGUUCGUGUGUGUGUGUGUGUGUGUGUCUGUUCCUGUAUAUUAACAUGUGUGUGAUUGCGUGUGUGUGUGUGUGUGUGUGUGUGUGUGUGUGUGUUCCUGUAUAUUAACAUGUGUGUGAUUGCAUGUGUGUGUGUGUGUGUGUGUUCCUGUAUAUUAACAUGUGUGUGUUUGCAUGUGUUCCUGUGUGUGUGCAGCUGUGCAGAGGAUGGCUGAGGCCCACAUGCAGAAACGAGAGGGCUCACCAGAAGGGGGCGACAGUGAGCUAGUGACCCUAUCUGGCCUGGAGAUUGAUGGGGACUUUCAGGAGGAUUGCAGUUCUGACCAAUCAGCACAGCUGACGGGGUCAGAGGUCAAUGCAGAGAAGUUACCUAACAUUCUGCAGACGGAGCCGCCAGACGAGGAAGAGGAUGGAGGGGACAUGGGAGAGACGGAGGACAGAGAGACACAGGAGGCCGGGGCAGAGUGCAGAGGGCAAGACUGACACACAGGGCAAGAGAGACACACUCACGGAGAACAGGGAGGGGUGGGGGGAUUCUAGUCACAUGACGACCUUACAUGACUGUUGAGCACACUCUCGGAGAGGGAAAGGAACAUGUCACCCUAAAGGAACCGGUGGGAUUACCACUAGGCCGGGGUGUUUUAGUGGAAUGUGCAAACGUGUGUGAGGCAGAAGGAGGGAUGUAAGGGUGCAGACAGAAAGAAGCAGGGAUUGCGUUUGAUAGAUCUUUUUUCAUGAGUUUUUUUUUGCAGCCAUUUGGAAAUGUCUGCAAAGUAUUUGAGUGAGUAAUUUGAGAGAUAAGAAAGAAAGACACAAAAAGAGAGAGAGAGAGAGAGAGUGAGUCGAGAGAGAGAGAAAGAGAGAGAGAGAGAGCAAAGACAAGUGAGUGAAGGACUCUCAUGUGUACACAAGGUCACAGUAUGAGCAGGUGAUGACAGCUGAAGCCAUUAUUAAAAAUAAAAUGUCAUUAAAAACCA